rnacentral:rRNA from 1 species
UACGAAGGGGGCUAGCGUUGCUCGGAUUGACUGGGCGUAAAGGGCGCGUAGGCGGCUUGUACAGUCAGACGUGAAAUUCCUGGGCUCAACCUGGGGGCUGCGUUUGAUACGUAUGGGCUUGAGUUCGGAAGAGGGUCGUGGAAUUCCCAGUGUAGAGGUGAAAUUCGUAGAUAUUGGGAAGAACACCGGUGGCGAAGGCGGCGACCUGGUCCGAUACUGACGCUGAGGCGCGAAAGCGUGGGGAGCAAACAGG